CAGGGUUUGUUUGGUGCUGAUGCUGUGCUGAUGUCCAGCAGGACUGGAGAGCCCAGCCCAAAGACCAGCCUCGAGACACACGGCACGACGGGCUGGCAGGUAAACUGGAGUCGCUGGAGGCUCGUCUGGUCAAUCUGAACAGUAUAGCGGUGAGGAUUCCUCAUGUUCAGUCUCGUGUGGGGUCAGGGAGCAGCUCCAGUCCGUGUACUCCAGCGCUGCAGAGAGCGGCCAAACCGCCGAGCAUGAGCGUGAGUCCCAGUCGAGAGCUUCAUCACAGCAGCUCCGUGACAGACCUCUCGUCUGCUCCUCUGUCUCCAGCGCUCGAUGAAGUCUUCUUCAGCCCUGACGAGCAGCCGCCC